UACGUAGGGGGCAAGCGUUGUCCGGAUUUAUUGGGCGUAAAGAGCGUGUAGGCGGCUAGAUAGGUCCGUUGUGAAAACUCGAGCUCAACCUCGAGACGCCGGUGGAAACCAUCUAGCUAGAGUCCGGAAGAGGAGAGUGGAAUUCCUGGAUGUAGCGGUGAAAUGCGCAGAUAUCAGGAAGAACACCCGUGGCGAAGGCGGCUCUCUGGUACGUGACUGACGCUGAGACGCGAAAGCGUGGGGAGCGAACAGG
rnacentral:rRNA from 1 species